UAAAAUAGUGUAAAAUAUAAUUAUAUCUGGAGAGAGUUGUAGAUGAAUAGUGUUUGACAUUAUAACACCAAUUAUUGUUGAUUAGUAUAAAACAGACAACUGAAGAAAGAAAUUAAAUCAGUUUUUACAGAGAACUAACAUCAAGAUGAGGCAACUAAUUGUAUUUGGGAUUUUGGUAAUUCUUUUGUCCAUCACACUCUCAUCACGUGGACAUGGUGCCACUCAUAUAACUUGUCCACAUUGUCACUGUGGAUGUCGACGAGGAUGGAAGAGAGACAGGGUUGUCAAUGAAGUCGAAGAUGUUUUCAAGAAGAGUGCUGAGCCUUUGGAAGAACUAGAGAGGUUUGUAACUGGAGAAGACCAUGACUUAGAAGAAGAAUAACGUCAUGAAUGACUACGAUUCAAGAGUCACUUCUCCCCUUGAAAAAUAAACAGUAUAAAAUCAUUUGAGUUUUGUUUUCUGUUCUUCGUGUAGGGUAGGAAUACACGCCAUGGAGUGAGCCAGUCAUAAGAGAUAAAUUAUCUUGGCUUGAAACGGCUCUGCAAAAGAUGCUAUGUAGAUAUGUCAACAAAAGAAGAAGGGGUGUGUGGGGGGGGGGGGGUGUAGCGAGAAUUUAUAUAAAUAGAUUGCCUACACGGGAAGUAAUGACUAAUCUGAGACCAUAUAAUGAUGUAAACUUUGGUAUAUUUUUCCUUUAACAUGGGUAUAACUUGAUAAUCCGACUGGGCUAAAGAAGACGAGUAUACGCCAUAUAGUAUGUUAUGAGGGAAAUUUUGCCCAGGAAGCGGCGCUUUUACCUGCUCUUAUAUCGAAUUCCAACUGCCAAGGGAUCUUUUACGUGUACGUCAAUGUGUACACGGAACCUCGGUUUUUCGUUUCAUCCGAACGACUAGACAUAGAGUGUAGGUCUCUUUUGGUUGGUACCUUAUCGACCCUAGGGAACGUUUGCCAGGACAGCGGCACUACGGCCUAGUCUUAUUUACAUUCCAACUGUGAAGGAGGAUUGUUUAUAGGCGACCGCCAUCAACAACACGUGAUAUCCUUAAUUACAGAGUAAUCGAACACCAUCAACAACAAUUACAGAAUGUGUUACUUACGUCAUCAGUAGUAACAGAUAUUUCAAUAUUGUAUAAAUUAAACAUACACCUAUCAUUCGUGUGAAGCAAAAUUAAACGAAUGUUUUGAUUACUUUUGUACCUUGAUUUAGAUUACAUACGAACUGGAAGCCUGUGAAUUUUGCCCAGGUACCUUUUAACUGUUUAUUAUAUUAUUUUGUGUGUAUACUCGUCCUCUCCCCAGGGUCAUAGAAUUAAAAGAGAGACAGAUUUGAUACUUCCAGUCUACACCUGACAAACUUUGGCACCAAUUGUAAAUUACACACCCGCCCAUAUUGUUUAAGGCAAAAUUAAAAUGAUUUUAUGAUUACUUUUGAUACCUUUAGAUUUAAAACAGUGUAAAAUAUAAUUAUAUCUAGAGAGGUGUAGAAAAAUAUCCCCAGGUAUUAGUGACCAGUAUAAAAUAUCCAACUGAAGAAAUCAGAUGAAAUCAGACAAGAAGUCAACUGUUACAGAGAAUUAUCACAAAGAUGAGGCAACUAAUUGUAUUUGGGAUCUUGGUAAUUCUUUUGUCCAUCACUCUCUCGUCACGUGGAGAUGUCGCUGCUCCACGAAGAGCGAAGAGAGACCUGGUUGUCAAUGAAGUCGAAGAUGUUUUCAAGAAGAGUGCUGAGCCUUUGGAAGAACUGGAGAGGUUUGUAACUGAAGAAGACUUUGACCUAGAAGAAGAAUAACGUCAUGAAUGACUACGAUUCAAGAGUCACUUUUCAUGUUGAAAAAUAAACCAAACACGGUAUAAAAUCA